GGGGGUGUGGCCAGCCCUGGGAGCACAGGUGGAAGCAAUUCACCUGAGUGAUCAGAUUUGGGGUAGACCCAGGGUUCCCCCCUCCCAACCUCAUGUAAGGGCUGGCAGCAGUGAGAGAAGUUUCUUUACUCAAACAUCAUCUUUGGAGUGCUUGGCGAGCUCUGAGUCUUGGAAGUGGGGGCUUAUCAAGAAGGUCUCCAUAGCAUGUAGUGGUGACGAAGUCUAAUUUUUUAAUGCAGUCUUCCUUCACAUCAAGCACUAAAUCUUAUUGUUGUUGGAGUGGGGACAUAGCAUUCACUUGUCACCAGCCAGGUAUCCCUAAAGACCUCGCUGCCCCACUAACGCAGCACUACCAGACCAGGAAGAGCCAUGGGCUGGCCUCUGCUUUGGAAGGAGGUGAUCAAACCUGAGACGAAGAAAGUCACGAAGUCAGAGCUCAAGUGCUGUGGUGUCCUUUUAAUCAUAUCCUCAGCAUCAAAGUGUGAAACUGUCACUAGUGGUGCCUUAGAGGGGUAAAUAUCUUCUGCUGUCGCUCCUCCCACUAUGCGGAUGACCUGACCUGGAUUUCUGUUGUGCUGGUAACACAUCUGCAUUUCUCUUUGAAAUAACGUCUUAGCAGAACGGCCAGAUUUCAAACCCCAGAGGAGUCCCUGUGUUGGUUAUGGAAACAGGAAAUACAGCAAAGCACUGCAAGAUAUGAGGAUAACAACGAGCUGUGCUAGGGCAGCCACCUGGCAGAAGAAUAGGACCUUGCUGCUUGGACAUGAGAUGCUUGCAAGCAUGUUCCUUUCAAACAAGAGGUUACGAUGAAGAGUUUAGAGCUGUUGGUUGGAUGCAGUCAGGUGGGGCUUAAAUCACACAACACAAAUCAGCCAUAAGUACAAAACUCUGCAAAGAUCUUAGUUUGUUUCCAGAUAUGCAGCACUGCUGAGACUCUGUUGGCACUAAAUCAUAUUAAAAUGUGAGUGCAGAGGGGCUGGCAAGACUGAUGGCAUUAAGUGCAUGUCCCUAUGCAAAUGCACUUUGAUUUGUAGCUAAAACAAGAGGCUUUUAGACUUUGAGAGCACCUCAGGUGCAUGUAAGCUACUUCAGAAAAACAUGGGGCUGUGUGAGGCAGCAGAGCUGCGGUGCUACAGGUGAGAUGGAUCUGGAAGUUCUUCCACAGAUAGAUACUGCAAGCAUCAACUCAAAAGUCCUGCAAGUACCACUCAGCAACACCUGCCUUUGCUGUGUGACCACAGUGUCAGCAGCACUAGGAGCAUCUUGCAUUUUGGUCCUUUCUGCUAAACAUGCACCUUUAUGGCUACCGGGAGAAGAACUUCUGCAGUGCCCUUUUCAUUAGCUUAACAUAAAACAGUUGUUACUCAGUAUAUGCAUCUUCCAGUGUAAGGUCACCCUCUCUGUGGUUUCUUGUAUUUCGAACAGAUAUGUGAUAGAAUUUGUUGUGGUGUAAAUACAUGUGUGUGUGUACAGUAAAAGUAAAACAUGGGGAGAGUCCAUUCACGAGUAGGAAAGAUACCUGCUAAGGCACCGGAGUCAGCUCUGUGAACCCAAGAAUUGUAUUUAAUGGACCCUGAUCUUGCCUGGAGAGUGGGAUGAAGAGGCUUCAUCACUCUGAGUUCCACCACCUUAAUUUUUUCCUUAAUAUAUGCAGAAACAGAUUCUUGAUCUGGAUGGUAAACGGUGACUUGAAAUAGCAGAUCUCUGCUGUCCUUUUCCUUUGGAAAAACAGCACUAACUAACAAGGCUGUCCAUGGGAGUGAAGUGUGCUUAUGUAGCCGUUCUAUGGCUCUGAUGUGGGAAAUUGGUGAUGCGUUAAGUGCUCAAAUGCAGAACAAAUCCAACAGAGGAAAAAUAUUAAUUUACAUUAAGCACAUCUGGUUUUGUUGGUUUUGCUCAACGCGCUGAGCUGGUCUGUACUGCAAAUGCUCCCACAGUGAGAGGUGCCUCUUGUUGCAUUUGUGUUUUCAUCUUUAACAGAAAACAUAAGAAAAAAAAAGUCAUGAAUAUGGCUUUGGGCUUGAAGUGAAAACCAGGCAAUGCCGGCAGAUUGCGACAACUAUAUGCUCAGGCUAUAUGCAAGAUUCAGUGUGCUGAGUACUCACAGGCUGAGGCUGACACUGACGGCUCUGUUGGGAAGUUCCACUGUUGUUAAAAAUGUUGCAGAAAUCCAGGUUAAGAAUAGGAAGCCACGGGGUGUUCUGUGGGAGUGCAGGUUUCACUGAAAGAAAAUAAACUGUUAAUCCCAAACAUCAAAAACAUUGCUACAGAGAUGGAAAAGUAAUAAUAACAAUAAAAACAUGCUUCAUAAGUCAUUUUGUGAUGGAUGCCACAGGGCAGGGCAGUAGCCAGUCUCAUCGUGUCAAGUAUUCUUGGCGCAGUGGUUGAAAUUCACGUUGUGUUUUAGGAAAGAUGUAGGUUGAGUGCCAAGUGAUACAGGAAUACUAAGAACCAACAGUGGGGUUAAUGACAGCACUGCCCCACAGUUGGGCUGCAACUGGCCUCAUUGAUGAAGGGCCCUCUGGACCUAACUUCAAAGCGAGAUUUUUGACGUCUCAAGUGCUUUCCUUGCUGUUUGUGCUUGAGUUGUCAUCUCCAGCGUUACGCUCAAAGGCAGCGGAUUAGCAGAACUCAGAAAGGCAAAGAUGGAUUACUCCUGAAAGGCAGAUUCCCCCAGACAGCCCCAGCCAUAACGCGGUCAGCUUUUGGAGCCAACCGGAUAUAAACUUGGAGUGGUGCUCAGAAGAGCAGCCCUUUGCCUGGUGUCAUUUUCCCAAGAUAACCAUCAGUUGUCGGGCUAAGAACACUGCUUUUAUUUUGGCGUGAGAAUGACAGCAAGGAGCAGAAAGCCUUUUAGAUUUGUCACAGAUGAGAUGCUGAGCAUUUUACAGAGACAUGUUGAUCUCCAAAUAGACCUUGAGUGGCUUAAUAUAUUUGUUGAGGCUGCUGGCAGCUGUGUGGUGUGUCUGGAAGUGCCUCCGGCCCCAGGCUGCGGGACUGAGAGGUGGGGGCCUGAAGACACUUCCCCAAAAAGAUCCCAAAGCCUUCUCUCUGUUUUGUCUCCUGUGUGAUAGGUGUAUUUGUGUCACCGAUGAGACCACCCAAUCAUGGAAUGACAAGCCUUGGAAGGGACCUUAAUGCCCAUCCAGUCCUAACCCUUGCCAUGGGCUGGUUGCUCCCCACGGGGUCUUGAACAUCACUAUGCAAUGAGAGGACAAGGAUCUACAAUUACAUUUUAAGCAGAAGUCAUGAGUUUUGUGUCUGUAGCUGCUUGAGUUAUCUUAUUAAGAAGCUACGUAGUGGGUUCAUAGUAGCUCAUGUCAGAGCAGGGAGUCCUUCUCCUAUAUGAACUGCACUUUCUGGGAAGCAAAGAGCCCUUCUGAUACAGCAGGAUGGAAAAUGGCUCAGAGCUCAUCUGGAACUCCUCUGGUUAGCUCAUGAAGGACGCUGUGAGUUCUCAGCAUGGUGAAGCAUUACAGGAAGUUGGAAUCAGGUCACCCAUGUCAUUUCCCAUCACCAACCUUGGAGCAGCUGCCUUAUCAAGAGCUUAAUUCUUCUUAAUACGAUUCUUUCUUUCUGAAGAAUGAGCCAUCAGGAUGUUACAGCCUGGCGUCUAUAACUGUUAGUCUGAAAUAUUUCCCUGUGUCAGAACCCAUUUCACAGUACUAAUGCCAGUAGUAAUAACAAUAAUAAUUCCUUAUUUCUUAAGCUGGGGAAAUGUAUCUACUCUGUAUGUCAGCUCGCUUUAUAGAGGAUCAUUUGCUUCUCUUUCCAAAAAAAUAAUACUUAAAGAAAGGUAAUCGCAAAGGCUUUUCUACCAUGAGAAGUCUUGUGGCAGAAAAAUGUAUAUACUUGGGUUUGUUGUCCUAUAGAUCCUGUAGUCUUUAAUAGAGUAACUCCCUGCACGUGUGCUGCCUCCCAAGGAACCAGGGGUGUUUCUGACUUAUCUGCUAGCAGCCCAGGUGAGGGCCACGAGGAGCUGAAAUGCUCUGUGGGUUGUUGGAGGUG
ensembl:lncRNA